UCCACUCCCCAAAUGCCUUUGCCAUCA
rnacentral:piRNA from 1 species